rnacentral:rRNA from 2 species
AGUACACAUCAGUGUAUUGCCUGCAAGUGAAUUCAUAGCUUGUCGGCGGCAGACGCGGGGAACUGAAACAUCUCAGUACCCGCAGGAAGAGAAAGAAAACUCGAUUCCCAUAGUAGCGGCGAGCGAAGUGGGAAGAGCCCAAACCGAGAAGCUUGCUUCUCGGGGUUGUAGGACUGGACAUUGGAGUUACCAAAGUUCGACGUAGUCGAAGUCAGCUGGAAAGCUGCGCCAUAGAAGGUGAAAGCCCUGUAAACGAAACGGCGGACCCUCCGUCCAGGAUCCUGAGUACGGCGGAACACGUGAAAUUCCGUCGGAAUCCGGGAGGACCAUCUCCCAAGGC